UGAGGAAUAUUGGCCAAUGGGCGUGAGCCUGAACCAGCCAGGUAGCGUGCAGGAAGACGGCCCUAUGGGUUGUAAACUGCUUUUAUGCGGGGAUAAAGGAGUCCACGGGUGGAUUUUUGCAGGUACCGCAGGAAUAAGGACCGGCUAAUUCCGUGCCAGCAGCCGCGGUAAUACGGAAGGUCCGGGCGUUAUCCGGAUUUAUUGGGUUUAAAGGGAGCGUAGGCCGCGUUUUAAGCGUGUUGUGAAAUGUAGACGCCCAACGUCUGCAUCGCAGCGCGAACUGGGACGCUUGAGUACGCGCAACGUUGGCGGAAUUCGUCGUGUAGCGGUGAAAUGCUUAGAUAUGACGAGGAACUCCGAUUGCGAAGGCAGCUGACGGGAGCGGCACUGACGCUUAAGCUCGAAGGUGCGGGUAUCAAACAGG
rnacentral:rRNA from 1 species